CCUACGGGAUGCAGCAGUGGGGAAUAUUGCACAAUGGGCGCAAGCCUGAUGCAGCCAUGCCGCGUGAAUGAAGAAGGCCUUCGGGUUGUAAAGUACUUUCAGCGGGGAGGAAGGUGUUGAGGUUAAUAACCUCAGCAAUUGACGUUACCCGCAGAAUGAAGCACCGGCUAACCCCGUGCCAGCAGCCGCGGUAAUACGGAGGGUGCAAGCGUUAAUCGGAAUUACUGGGCGUAAAGCGCACGCAGGCGGUCUGUCAAGUCGGAUGUGGAAUCCCCGGGCUCAACCUGGGAACUGCAUUCGAUACUGGCAAGCUUGAGUCUCGUAGAGGGGGGUAGAAUUCCAGGUGUAGCGGUGAAAUGCGUAGAGAUCUGGAGGAAUACCGGUGGCGAAGGCGGCCCCCUGGACGAAGACUGACGCUCAGGUGCGAAAGCGUGGGGAGCAAACAGGAUUAGAUACCCGGGUAGUC
rnacentral:rRNA from 1 species